rnacentral:rRNA from 1 species
GAUGAACGCUUGCGGCGUGCCUAAUACAUGCAAGUCGAGCGAACGGACGAGAAGCUUGCUUUUCUGAUGUUAGCGGCGGACGGGUGAGUAACACGUGGAUAACCUACCUAUAAGACUGGGAUAACUUCGGGAAACCGGAGCUAAUACCGGAUAAUAUUUUGAACCGCAUGGUUCAAAAGUGAAAGACGGUCUUGCUGUCACUUAUAGAUGGAUCCGCGCUGCAUUAGCUAGUUGGUAAGGUAACGGCUUACCAAGGCAACGAUGCAUAGCCGACCUGAGAGGGUGAUCGGCCACACUGGAACUGAGACACGGUCCAGACUCCUACGGGAGGCAGCAGUAGGGAAUCUUCCGCAAUGGGCGAAAGCCUGACGGAGCAACGCCGCGUGAGUGAUGAAGGUCUUCGGAUCGUAAAACUCUGUUAUUAGGGAAGAACAUAUGUGUAAGUAACUGUGCACAUCUUGACGGUACCUAAUCAGAAAGCCACGGCUAACUACGUG